rnacentral:rRNA from 1 species
CGCUGGCGGCGUGCCUAAUACAUGCAAGUCGAGCGAACAGAUAAGGAGCUUGCUCCUUUGACGUUAGCGGCGGACGGGUGAGUAACACGUGGAUAACCUACCUAUAAGACUGGGAUAACUUCGGGAAACAGGAGCUAAUACCGGAUAACAUAUUGAACCGCAUGGUUCAAUAGUGAAAGGCGGCUUUGCUGUCACUUAUAGAUGGAUCCGCGCCGUAUUAGCUAGUUGGUAAGGUAACGGCUUACCAAGGCAACGAUACGUAGCCGACCUGAGAGGGUGAUCGGCCACACUGGAACUGAGACACGGUCCAGACUCCUACGGGAGGCAGCAGUAGGGAAUCUUCCGCAAUGGGCGAAAGCCUGACGGAGCAACGCCGCGUGAGUGAUGAAGGUCUUCGGAUCGUAAAACUCUGUUAUCAGGGAAGAACAAAUGUGUAAGUAACUGUGCACAUCUUGACGGUACCUGAUCAGAAAGCCACGGCUAACUACGUGCCAGCAGCCGCGGUAAUACGUAGGUGGCAAGCGUUAUCCGGAAUUAUUGGGCGUAAAG